GGUUGUGUAGUGUAGUGGUUAUCACUCUGGAUUUUGAUUAUACAAGAUGUUUGGAUUUCCAGUAACCCCGGUUCGAACCCGGGCACGACCU